AAAUAAGUUAGACCCGCGUACCCCCAAAUCUUAAAUCCCAAACGCUAAAAGCGUAAAACCUAAUUUCCAAACUCAGAAGUCAAAAACUUUCAAUCUCUCAUGCGAUUGAGCGAUUCUUCUUCCUCUUUGAACUGCUGCGAAUCUGCGAUUCUUCUUCCUCAAACCUUCUUCGAUUCUUCUUCCUCCAGUAAAUCCAGUGGUUUCCGGCCUAGUAAGGGUGUUUCACUGAUCAACAGACCUUUUUUGGAGAAGAACUACCUUGGACCAGGUCUACCGGUGUUUAUUUGUCAGAUAAUCAUGGCAUCUCAAAUUGAAGAGAAUCUACCAGUUUCAUCUACUAAUGCUAUUUCCUUAGACGAUGAGAGUCAAAGUCCUUCACAACCUGAUGAAGUUGAACUGAAAAAAGGAGAUAUUCCCGAGCAUGGGAUCAUUUCAAGCCGAUGAAGGUUAAGGGUGUUCCAUAUGGUGCUUGUAAGUAUUGCGAUCGCCGGUAUAAAAAUUCUAGAAAUUGUGGGACAAAAUCUAUGUUAGAUCACAUGCUUAAGUGUCCUAAUAGGACAAGAGAUGCACAAAAUGAGGGCGAUACCGGGGGUGCUUAUUUUGAUCAAGAUGUUUCACGUAAAAAAACUUGCACAUGCCAUUAUUUUACACGAGUAUCCACUCUCUAUAGUUAAUCAUGUGGGAUUUAGGAACUUUGUUGCGAGUCUUCAACCUAUGUUUAAGAUGGUUUCUAGAAAUACAAUCAAGAAUGACAUAAUAAAAGUCUUUGACAAUUUGAAAUCGCAAACUUCUAUGUUGCUGGAGAAAGUCACGAGUAGAAUUGCAAUAACAACCGAUAUGUGGACUUCCAAUAGUAACAAAAAAGGGUUCAUGGCUAUUACUGGUCAUUUCAUUGAUGAUUCAUGGAGGCUUCAAAGUCAUAUUUUGAGAUUUGCUUAUGUCCCUGCUCCACAUGAUAAAGAUGUUUUGUGUGGUGCUUUGGUUAAUUGUUUGUUUGAUUGGAAUCUUGAACGAAAACUAUCGACUAUCACAGUUGAUAAUUGUAGCACAAAUAAUGCUAUGAUUAAAACUUUAUUGGAUGAGAAACUUAAUAAAAAAGAUUUGUUGUUGAGUGGUCGAGUAUUUCACGUGCGUUGUGCUGCACAUAUUUUAAACUUGAUUGUGCAAGAAGGGUUAAAAGUGAUAGGAGAUAGUAUUAAAGUGCGUGAUAGUGUCUUGUAUUGGAUUGGAUCAGUUGGCAGAAUUGAGAGGUUUGAAGAAGCCGCACGUUUGGUUCACUGUUCUUGUUAUAAGAAGUUGGAGUAUGAUUGUCCUACUCGGUGGAACUCAACAUAUUUAAUGUUGAGAACAGUUAUAGAAUACAAAGAGGUGUUUAACAAGUUGAGUCUAACUGACACAAAUUAUAAGUCGUAUCCAACUGAAGAGCAAUGGAGUAAUGCAGAAGAUGUUUCUGAUAAGCUCAAACUUUUUUAUCAUAUCACUAAAUAGUUUUCAGGAACUCAAUAUCCAACUUCUAGUCAAUACUUUAUAAAAGUUUGUGAAAUUAAAUUAGAAUUGGAAGCUUGGGUGAAAGAGCUUAAUCCUUUGAUUAGCGAUAUGACAUCUGCCAUGUUGUUGAAAUUUUAAAAAUAUUGGGAUGAUGUGCAUAUUUUGAUGGGAGUAGCUACAAUCUUUGAUCCACGGUACAAGAUGAGGUUGGUAGAGUUCUUUCUUCCACUAAUUUAUGGUGAAGAAGUUUCAACUAAAAUUCAAGAAGUUCGAUCCAGUUGUUAUGAUCUCUUUCAAGAUUAUAUGAGUAAAUUAUCUGCUCCACAUGAUUCAUUAGCAUCUAAUUCUAGUGAAGUCACUAGUUUUACUCAGGGUGAUCGGCUUUCGAGCUUUGAUAGAUUUGUAGCUUCAACUGGAUCUACCGUGGAGAAAAGAUCAGAGUUGGAUAUGUACUUAGAAGAAGACCUACUACCUCGAACCCCUUCAUUUGAUAAUUUGAGUUGGUGGAAGACAAAUGGAUUGAAAUUUCCUACAUUGCAAAAAAUGGCUCGUGAUCUCUUAGCCAUUCCCCUGUCUAGUAUUGCUUCAGAAUCGGCAUUUAGCACUAGUGGGAGGUUGAUUAGCCCGCAUCGGAGUAGACUCCACCCCACUACUUUGGAAGCUUUAAUGUGUUCUCGCACGUGGUUAUGGAAUGACUUAAAUGGUUUGACUUCAAUCGUUGAUCAAGUUUCAUGUCCAACAUUUCUUGAUGAAGAGGACGAGCCGGAUUCAAGUGGUUUAUCGCAACUAUGAGACCCUUGACAUGCUACUGUUUUUCCACAAACUAUCUACCAUUUGUCACUGAGCGUGAGCUUUUUAAGCCAACAGAUGUGCUUUGCAAGAGGAAAAAUGCGGUUCAUCCAAUUCCUAUUUUUGUGUUCUUCUGUGUCUGUUUCAACAGCCAAGAUUGCAACUUUGUGUUCUUUUGGUUCAUUAUUCUUCAACAGCAAGAGGGCACUGUUUUUGGGUCUUGCUAUAACCACAAGAAAAGUAAUUGGUUAAUCUUGAUUACCUUGCUGGAAUUUCAGUUUAUUUUGUUGAGCAUUGCAUCUGCUGUAGCAUUCUGUUUCUUUUUGUUUAUCAUUCCAGUGUGAGAUGAAUUUAAAUGGAAACAUGGUUGGUGAUUACAAUAAUGGCAUUCUAAUUUGCUAGA